ACGUGUUGCACGGUGACACGCUGCGUAUCGUUUUCUUGUUCAGACGGUCUCGUGACUCCUUCUGGUCCGUGACGGCACAAAAGCCGCCAGUCCGGUUGUGGUGCCUGCUCGACGAGUGUUGUGGGACUAGAUAAUGAGCAUCUCAGACUGUGAUGGACGCCAUGCAGACCUGGAGCUUCCUCCACAGUGGGAAAGAUGCAAGACCCUCAAGGUUACAGUCACACAACCACAGACCUUCGCAUGGGUGGCUGCGGCUUGUGCGAGCGCGACGUCCCGGGACCCCUGCAGCAUGACGGACAUCUCUGAUAGACUCAUAUCACGCAUGACAGAGUAACCCAAGACGUGGCCUAAUUAGCAGGUAAGACCUGAAAGAGGCAGGAUGAAAAUCAAAACUUUAUUAACAGCACAAGCACCAUCAACUUUACCCCCAAGCUUAUUUAUUCAUGGGAUGAUAAGAGGACUUUGGAAACUGCAAGAUAUGCCAAGUUGUCCCCUUUUAACGCACUCAACACAUUCACAGGCCACCCACCUGUGCAGGUAUUCCGCUAAUCCAGGCCAAGAAGCCUUGUCAGGUGGAAGAAAGUCUAUCUUAUCCCAGG